GUUAGGGAACUGGUCCAUACUACCUGAGAGAUGGUCGCUAACUAACGUCCUCUCUUUGCAGCAAACUUUAAAACCAAAGGCAGCAGCCCUGCUCCUUUUUUCUUGAGAAACAGCGCCACCUUCAGGUCAUAUUGGCCACAACAGCUAUCCGUGGAGCUGUCUGCUGAACAGGAGCGGUUUGGCAGAUGCUUAUCACAGUCACCAGCUGACCGAGCUCCCCCCCUACUGAUUCCUUGUGAAAUCUUAUAAAGAAGGGGAAAUAAGAAGCAAAAUGGAGGAAAUCAAGACUCAGGCCCCGCAGUGGCAGAGCCAGCAUCCGGUUUGAACGCGCAGCCGCACACAUGCGCAGUCGUGCUCUCAGCAAAAGCAUGGCCGCUGCGCGUUUUCGGAGAGUUUAUUUCGCGACACACUGUUGCAACCAGCAGUUGGGAGGCAGAGGCGCUCAAGAGCUCUGUUUGUUUCUCAGAAGUGUGCUUCCCUACGAAGAACACAGCCCCUGUCUCUGCCAGCCGUGCUCAGCAGCAGCUCCCCGAGCCACUGGACACACAGCUGUGUUAAGGCCCAUCCCUGUCAAAGGCUGACACUUCCAGUGCUGGUGACCCGGCCCCCUGAGGAACUGGCUCUCCUG
rnacentral:lncRNA from 1 species